rnacentral:rRNA from 1 species
ACCUCAGUAACGGCGAGUGAAGCGGUAACAGCUCAAAUUUGAAAGCUGGCUCUUUUAGGGUCCGCGUUGUAAUUUGUAGAAGAUGCUUCGGGUGUGGCCCCGGUCUAAGUUCCUUGGAACAGGACGUCAUAGAGGGUGAGAAUCCCGUAUGUGACUGGGUGCUUUCGCUCAUGUGAAGCUCUUUCGACGAGUCGAGUUGUUUGGGAAUGCAGCUCAAAAUGGGUGGUAAAUUUCAUCUAAAGCUAAAUAUUGGCCAGAGACCGAUAGCGCACAAGUAGAGUGAUCGAAAGAUGAAAAGCACUUUGGAAAGAGAGUUAAACAGUACGUGAAAUUGUUGAAAGGGAAGCGCUUGCAACCAGACUUGCGCGCUGAUGAUCAUCCGGGCUUCUGUCCGGUGCACUCAUCUGCGCUCAGGCCAGCAUCGGUUUCGGUGGUGGGAUAAAGGCCUUGGGAAUGUGGCUCCUCUCGGGGAGUGUUAUAGCCCUCGGUGCAAUGCCGCCUACCGGGACCGAGGACCGCGCUUCGGCUAGGAUGCUGGCGUAAUGGUUGUAAGCGACCCGUCUUGAAACACGGACCAAGGAGUCUAACAUCUAUGCGAGUGUUUGGGUGUCAAACCCAUACGCGUAAUGAAAGUGAACGGAGGUGAGAACCCUUAAGGGUGCAUCAUCGACCGAUCCUGAUGUCUUCGGAUGGAUUUGAGUAAGAGCAUAGCUGUUGGGACCCGAAAGAUGGUGAACUAUGCGUGAAUAGGGUGAAGCCAGAGGAAACUCUGGUGGAGGCUCGCAGCGGUUGUGACGUGCAAAUCGAUCGUGAAAUUUGCGUAUAGGGGCGAAAGAUUAAUCGAACCAUCUAGUAGCUGGUCCCUGCCGAAGUUUCCCUCAGGAUAGCAGUGUGUGAAUUCAGUUUUAUGAGGUAAAGCGAAUGAUUAGAGGCCUUGGGGUC